rnacentral:rRNA from 1 species
CCCUUAGAUGUUCUGGGCCGCACGCGCGCUACACUGAUGCAUUCAACGAGUCUAAAACCUGCUCUGAUAGGGGUGGGUAAUCUUUUGAAUGUGCAUCGUGAUUGGGAUAGAUGAUUGCAAUUUUUCAUCUUCAACGAGGAAUGCCUAGUAAACGCAAGUCAUCAGCUUGCAUUGAUUACGUCCCUGCCCUUUGUACACACCGCCCGUCGCUCCUACCGAUUGAAUGAUCCGAUGAAUAUCAUGGAUUGAGGAUGCAAGCAGGUUCGCCUGUCUUCAUCUUCGAGAAGUGAAGUAAAUCUUAUCAUUUAGAGGAAGGAGAAGUCGGAACA